UCAAUUCAUAUUUCAUACACGCACGACAGCAGCAGCAGCGGUUAGUGAGAGAAAGAAGAACGAAAAAAGAAGAGUGAGAGAGCAAUGGCAUCAAACGCAGCGGUGCCGUUUUGGCGGGCAGCGGGGAUGACCUACAUAACGUACUCAAACCUGUGUGCGAACCUUGUGAGGCAGUGUCUCAAGGAGCCAUACCGAUCCGAAGCCUUGACCCGGGAGAAGGUCCAUUUUUCCGUCUCCCAAUGGGUUGAAGGCAAACCCCAGAAACCCAGUAAUUUUUCUAUUACUCUUUGUCCUUCUCCCUCAAUACUCUGUUAUCUCGUUUAAUUAGAAUUGGAAAUGAAGUUUUUUAAUUAUUCUGAUCUAGGGUUUAUUUGAUUUUCUGAUUAUUGUUUGAAUUUCACAUUUUGAAUAAUUUUUUCUUUGAGUGGUUUUGAAGUGAUAUUUGAGGUUGAUUGAUUCAGUUAUUUUGUGAUUUCUGUUUAUUAUUUUUGACAAAUGUAGAAUUGGGAUUGGUUUAGAACUGUUAAGAUAAACCGCACAUUUAUUAAAUGCGGCAAUAUUAACCAACAAAUAAGGUUUUGGCUACUCCUUAAACAAGGUUGCCCAUGGAACCUCAGCUUUCCAUUAAGCAUAAAAACGGAAUUUGAUCUGAUUAAGACUCAAACACUCACGUGGAUUUCAAAAUUGGUAUGUUGAAAUGAACCGAAAUGAACCACUGUCUUGUGGGCACGUUAAGGGAUAAAUUCCAUAUUGGUUAAAUAUCGAAAUGUUAAAUGCCAACAUAUUAAGAUUUGGACUAUCCCUCCCAACAAGGUUGACAGUUUGAGAUGGAUUUCUGAGUCUUGAUAAGAAAUAAAGGUGGAAAUCUUUGAUUUGAUGGGAGUUUUGACUUAGUGUUAUUUUCGGUCUCCCUGAAAUUGGAAAAAUUUUCAGAUAAAUUUGAAAUUUAUUUUCUGUAGUGUUCAAUAUUGAAGUUCUAAUUGCGUGCUGUCAAACAUAGUAAUAGUAUGCUUUUUGGUGAGAAAUAAUGAAAGAGGAGAUAGAUGAUUGAUAUGGGCUUUGCCUUGUUUAUACUUUUCUCAUGAGAAUAAAUCAUCUGAUCAUGGCCAGUGAUGAUAGACUGGUCAUGGGUUUACUCUGGUUUAUGUAUUGACAUGCUUGUGCUGCCCUUUGAUUUUGAUGUUCUGGUUAUUGUUCAAUAAAAAACUACACAUGAUUUUUGUUUUAGUUUUUGUUCAUCUUUAUUUUGUUGUUGGCAUGACAUUAAGCUUGUUUUCUGAAAUUAUCACUGUCUGAUUCAACUUUGUCUCUGGCUUUUGUCUCAGCCAUCCGCUCGGAUACUCCUGAAUGAUAUUAGUCAUUGGCCAUUGACUGUUCUAUAAAGUUUAUUCCAGCUGAAGAACAAUUUCCAUUUUUUGUUUUUGUCUGGCUUCACAAUUUGGGCAUAGACAAUGAUGUCAGAUCGUGCAUCAAAUUCUAUUGGCAAUAAUGCAACUGCUAUGGUUUGGAUUUCUAUUGAAAUUUGUUGGAUCUUAGUGGAUGCUAAUUUUCAUUAAAAUGGUUUUUCAGAGUUCUACUUGACUUCCAUAAAUUGCAGCUGUCACUCUUUCGUCUAAAUUUCUGUUGGCCUAACUAUGUGAUUUAAGUUCCCCCUUUAUUCUUCUUAUGCUACUAUCUGCAUCCAAGCCCAACUCUUGAGCUAAGUAUUAAACUUUUCGUCUACACCGUUUUAGCAAAGUUUAUAUUGUUCAUUCUCUCGGACUAUCAUAAAUCUGGAACGAGCAUUCGAAC
rnacentral:lncRNA from 1 species